CCCCCUCCGGGAGCGGGCUCCGGGCUUUGUCCCGAGCUGGGCGGGGCGGACUGGGGGAGGGCGCCUUGGCUGUGCCUGCGCUGCGCGGAAAACUGUGGAAACCUAGGUUCCCUCCGUGGGGCGGGCGAUGAGGUUCGAGCUGCGCUCGAAGCUCCUGCAGUGCCUCAGUUUCCCUCUACCGGGACGCGGAAGGUUGGGCUGUUGCCUACAGCGCUCCUGGUCUCGCGGAAGUCUGCAAGGAUGGGGAAGAGAAGUUUCUCUACUGGAAAUUUACGUUGUUCUCUAUCACAGUGGACGCCUUCCCGGGGCCGGAUUCCCAGCCUGCAAUUGCUUUCCCUCUUUUUCACUUUAUAAAAGUUCAGGGCUCUCGCUCAAGUCGAAGUCAGCCCUACUGUUGAGAAGAGAAACCUUUAGCAUAGCCGGGGGGAAAAGAUAAUUGCCGGGUUUGUAAUAAUCCUGCCCCGCUAACACGGUCUCCUCCAAGUCGCUCAAGAAAUCAAGUUCACUAAUCCCUGCGAAUUGUGCUUUUCGAAAGCAAUGAGUCAGGAGUGUAAAUUUGUACAACUUUGUUGGAGAAGUUUGGUAUCAGCUAUUAGAGUUGAAGUUAUACAUACUCUAUGAGCCAGAAGUUCCCCUUAGGAAUACAGCCAAGAGAAACUCAGAACUGAGGCCUACUGCCAACAACCAUGUAAGUAAGCCAUCUUCAAAGCAGAUUAUCUGGUCUCCAUCAAACCUCCAGAUGACUGUAGCCUCAGCUGAUAGCUUGACUUCAACUUCAUGAGAAACCCUGAGAACCAUCUGAGCAACUCUCAAAUCCAUACUAUGAGCAGGCAGUUUGAAGAGUGGUCCUCGAUGUGGCUGCAAACAUGUCUAUUUCCUUCUUCCCAAUCAACCAACGGAGUGAGGGACUCUCCCCAUGCAGAAUGAAGAGGUGUGAACUGAAGUCUGGCACUUGCCAUCAGCCUCUGCAUGGAGUAAAACAUGAGCCGCUGAAGCUGCAGACCCGCAGCACUGCCUGAGUGGAGCUCAGCGUGGAGAACAGGAGUGAGGCUCUCUGUGCUCUGGGAAAACUGGAAGAACAGGCCUUCAGAUAGUUAGAU